rnacentral:rRNA from 1 species
UACGAAGGGAGCUAGCGUUGUUCGGAAUUACUGGGCGUAAAGGGCGCGUAGGCGGGUUUCCAAGUCGGGGGUGAAAUUCCAGGGCUCAACCCUGGGACGGCCUUCGAUACUGGGAGCCUGGAGAUCGGGAGAGGUGAGUGGAAUUCCGAGUGUAGAGGUGAAAUUCGUAGAUAUUCGGAGGAACACCAGAAGCGAAGGCGGCUCACUGGCCCGAGACUGACGCUGAGGCGCGAAAGCGUGGGGAGCAAACAGGG